GUAAGGGAAGUCGGCAAAGUAGAUCCGUAACUUCGGGAAAAGGAUUGGCUCUGAGGGUUGGGCACAGAGGUCCUCGUCUUGAUGUCUGAGCUGGGGCAGAAGCUACUUGACGCCUCUGGUGGAGAGUGGAAUCUUGCAUGGCGAAGACUGCCGGACAUGGAAUGCUCUUCGGGGCGUUCCCCGUGCAGCGAACAACCAUCUCAGAUCUGGAGAAGACAAGGGUGUUGUCUGAACAUUCAAAGGUCCGUGC
rnacentral:ncRNA from 1 species